GGGACAGGUCGUUUAUUGAGGCCUAAGCAUCCGUAGCCGGCUCUGCAAGUCUUCGGUUAAAUCCACCUGCUCAACAGAUGGGCUGCUGGAGAUACUACAGCGCUAGGGAGUGGGAGAGGCAGACGGUAUUCAGUGGGUAGGGGUAAAAUCCUCUGAUCCAUUGAGGACCACCAGUGGCGAAGGCGGUCUGCCAGAACACGUUCGACGGUGAGGGAUGAAAGCUGGGGGAGCAAACCGGAUUAGAUACCCGGGUAGUCCCAGCUGUAAACGAUGCAAACUCGGUGAUGCAUUGGCUUAUGGCCAAUGCAGUGCCGCAGGGAAGCCGUUAAGUUUGCCGCCUGGGAAGUACGGACGCAAGUCUGAAACUUAAAGGAAUUGGCGGGGGAGCACAAA
rnacentral:rRNA from 1 species